UGUUCCUUCCCACGAGCCCUCAGCAUGCCUGCACACCUCUGUGGGCCUCCCUGUUACUGGCUUGUCUCCUUCCUUCCCAGAUGUGGGCCUGUCUGACUCAUCCUUGCAUCCUCCAGUGCCCAGCAUAGAGCAGGGAAGCCACGCAGGGUGUGAUAAAUAUUUGAUGAAGAAACGAAUGCCUGGAUUCCACAUGCAGAGAAAGCCGGCCCCUUCUGAAUUAAUUAUGUGACUCAAACGUCAGGGCACGAUGAUGAGUUUAUUUCUACUUAUUAGAGCCAUACCUCUCCCCACUCUCAGUCCCUGAGGUGAGAAACAGUCACGUGACCCGGGCUUGGCCAACCGGGGACUGGUUCAGAGACGGGUUCAUGAGUAAAGCUGGACCAAUGUAAACAUGCCCUAGUACCGUUGCGGGCACUAUUGAGAAAGACAUGCUCGGAGCUGCUGCCUGAAAGUGAUGUCCAUAUAAAGGAAAGCAGGUGGACUGCCAGCCUCUGAUAUGGACGUCUGUGGAUGCUGAGUUGGUGGUUCAUCCUCUAGAUUGAGACAGUGCUUCCAACAGAGCUCCUUGGCUGGCUUAGUCUCUGCUCUCUCAGCUGCCUUAUGGACAGGCCCAUGUGGCAAGGAACACAUGUUUUCAGCAAGAAGCCAGCAAGGACCUGAGACUGGCCAACAGCCACGGCAGCUGGAGCAGUCCUUCUGCAAUGCCUCUCUGAUCACAUGGCCCAUCUGCUUAAGCCCUUCAGUGCCCACCCAACCCUGCCCCCCCUCACUGGCCACGUCUGUCUCAAGACCAGCCUUGUUGUGCCUCCUGCCUGCCUUGCUGUCUGUACUCUGGUCAUACUUGAGUCUUUCCAUGGUUAAUCCUAUUGGUCCUUCAAAUUUUAUUUCAUUCAUCCCUUCCUCAGAGAGUUCCCUGACAUCUCUGAUUAAACCAAACCCCUUACUAUAGCCUCAGAGCUCCCCAUAGUGCGGUGUCCCAUAACUUGUGUGGGUAUUCAAUCAAGAUCUCUCCUUUUCUAUUGUGGAAGUGCCACGAGGGCAGAGCCUUGUCUGUUUUCCCUGACAUUGUGUUCUUGGUACCCAGCCUGACCUGGAAAAGGGCAGGCCUUCAAUUAGUGUGUAUUGAGAGAAGGAAGGAAUUAUGAAUCCAUUGGGGGGAAAAGCAGGGAGAAUGAGGAUUUAAUGGAACCCAAAGCUCGGGCACGGGAAGAGAAUCUGAAUGCACACCAUCCUAAAAUAGGAUGGUGGAGUGUCUUCAGACUAAUUAUAACAUUUGCAGAGGGCACAACAUUUGUGGUUGUGUGUCUCUUUCCUUCCCCCAGGCCCCAACAGCCUCAGGGAAAGCCACAGAUUUCAGGUCUGUCCCCAGAGGUCUUUGGCUCUGCCUUCCCACCCCUUCCACACUCUCCAGCCGCACUGGCUCUGCCCCCGUGGGGCCUCCUGAACGCUCUCCUUUGCCCAGGGGGAAGGGCUGGCUUGGGCAGAGAACCCCCAGACCCCUUUCUCAGGAGCUCCAGUGUUUGCGCCCUCUAGCCCAGCACUACCCUGCAGUCCUCACCCGGGGCACUGCUUGCUGCUGACUCUCAGUUUCACCCCGCCCCAAAGGGGCGCAGGGCUCACAUUGCUCCCGCUGCUCCUGCUGGCGCUCCUGCAACAGUGGGGCAAGUGCUUUCCUCCGAGUGUGGAGAGUCCAUCAGUGGACUGCAGUGGAGCAUAGUCCAUUCUCCUCUCCUCUCCUGGGAUUCCCACCCUUCCUCAAGGGUCAUCUCUCUCAGUAGUUUUGUGGCAGGUCUUCCAGAGCUGUGAAUCAGCAACGUGCAAAACGGGAGCUUCAGCAAAAUUAAAGGAGGCUUGAAGUGAGCAAAGCAGAGCAGAGUGUGGGCAGGAGCCGAGGGCUGCCACAGUGCGAAGAUCACGGCGUGUGUCAUCUGAGGGAGCUCCUGGCAGUGUCUGCCUCUGCUGGGACAGUCAGAUCACGGUGACUUGGGCAGAGAUGGAAAUACCCAAGCACAGCCACUGUACUCCAGAGGUGUGCGGUAUCAGGACAGCCUGUGCCAGCCUCUUUCUUUCCCUGGCUCAUUUGAACAAAGCAGUUGCUGGACUAACUCUGCUGUGCCCAGAGCCCAUGACAAAUUCAAAUGGCUCUUCCCCUACUGCCUUAUUCUGGAGGCACAGAACUGAGCACUUCUUAGUGGCACCGACCUGAUCACAUGGCGAUCGAUGGAUAAGCUGUCGCUUCCCUGGGCUGUGAGCUCCUCCAGGUGGGAGCCUUGGCACCGUUUCCUCCGUGUCUCCAGGGCUGGGCAUCUAGAAGGUUUCUGAUGAACGAAUGAAUGCCUCUCCGGACAUACAGGAUGCACGAGAGGCUCCUACAGUGGGAAUGUGUACAGCACCCUGUACAUGUUUAAUAGUAGAGCACCCUGUUGGUUCUGCACGGUUUGUAGGACUCAAAGAAGGAAUAAUUUGUCCUUUCUAGGAAAGGCAGGUCUCCUGUGGAGACCACUGGAGGGACAAUGUCUGCAAGUUGGGGAUGGGGGCAGGCCGAGAUAGACAAAGGCCCCAGGAAAAGGACACAGGAAGUGGAGGUGUUCAUCCCAGGGAGAUCCCAGGGUCUCCAGGCAGAGCUCUGAUUCUCCAGGAAAUCCACAGACAGUGCUUGGGAACAGGCCGGUGGGAGGGCAUGCUCUCAGGGAGCCAUAUUUCAGUCCUCACAAAGCCCUGCAGGAUGACUCCCACACUUCCCAUGCUUGUCCACUAGGGGGCAGGCAGAGGCAGGGGAAGAAGUGAGGUGGUGGCUGGUGGGCUCCAGAGCUGGGCUCUUCAGGUGGCCUAUUCAGGCCCACAUACAACACACAGGGCUGUUUGUAUUACUCAGACGGCAGGGCCAGGCCUCUCUUCCUGCUUGUCAUGACCUCUGCGAUUUUAUAUGUGACAUCAGAUACCACGAGGCCAUGGGAACCAAAGUAUACAGCUUGGUGUGAGUGUUAAUAAACAAAUUUUAAAAAGUGAUCCCCGGGGCACCUGGGUGGCUCAGUGCUUAAGC